rnacentral:rRNA from 1 species
UAAUACAUGCAAGUCGAACGGUCUUUCUAUGGAAGCUGCUUCCACUGAAAGAUAGUGGCGAACGGGUGAGUAACACGUGGGUAACCCUGCCCAUAAGAGGGGGGAUAACAUCCGGAAACGGGUGCGUAAUACCGCGAUAGUUUUCUUGAUCGCAUGAUCGGGAAAGGAAAGACGGCCUUUGUGCUGUCGCUUAUGGAUGGACCCGCGGCGUAUUAGUAGUUGGUGAGGUAACGGCUCACCAAGACGAUGAUACGUAGCCGACCUGAGAGGGUGAUCGGCCACAUUGGGACUGAGACACGGCCCAAACUCCUACGGGAGGCAGCAGUAGGGAAUCUUCCGCAAUGGACGAAAGUCUGACGGAGCAACGCCGCGUGAGUGAAGAAAGGUUUUCGGAUCGUAAAACUCUGUUGUCAGAGAAGAACAAGUUGGAGAGUAACUGCUCCAGCCUUGACGGUAUCUGACCAGAAAGCCACGGCUAACUACGUGCCAGCAGCCGC